GUCGAGCGAAUGGAUUAAGAGCUUGCUCUUAUGAAGUUAGCGGCGGACGGGUGAGUAACACGUGGGUAACCUGCCCAUAAGACUGGGAUAACUCCGGGAAACCGGGGCUAAUACCGGAUAACAUUUUGAACCGCAUGGUUCGAAAUUGAAAGGCGGCUUCGGCUGUCACUUAUGGAUGGACCCGCGUCGCAUUAGCUAGUUGGUGAGGUAACGGCUCACCAAGGCAACGAUGCGUAGCCGACCUGAGAGGGUGAUCGGCCACACUGGGACUGAGACACGGCCCAGACUCCUACGGGAGGCAGCAGUAGGGAAUCUUCCGCAAUGGACGAAAGUCUGACGGAGCAACGCCGCGUGAGUGAUGAAGGCUUUCGGGUCGUAAAACUCUGUUGUUAGGGAAGAACAAGUGCUAGUUGAAUAAGCUGGCACCUUGACGGUACCUAACCAGAAAGCCACGGCUAACUACGUGCCAGCAGCCGCGGUAAUACGUAGGUGGCAAGCGUUAUCCGGAAUUAUUGGGCGUAAAGCGCGCGCAGGUGGUUUCUUAAGUCUGAUGUGAAAGCCCACGGCUCAACCGUGGAGGGUCAUUGGAAACUGGGAGACUUGAGUGCAGAAGAGGAAAGUGGAAUUCCAUGUGUAGCGGUGAAAUGCGUAGAGAUAUGGAGGAACACCAGUGGCGAAGGCGACUUUCUGGUCUGUA
rnacentral:rRNA from 1 species